GACGAACGCGGCGGCGUGCUUAACACAUGCAAGUCGAACGAAGAGAAAUGGAAGCUUGCUUCUAUGGAUCUUAGUGGCGAACGGGUGAGUAACGCGUAAUCAACCUGCCCUUCAGAGGGGGACAACAGUUGGAAACGACUGCUAAUACCGCAUACGAUUCAAUCUGGCAUCGAGAGUGGAUGAAAGGUGGCCUCUAUUUAUAAGCUAUCACUGAAGGAGGGGAUUGCGUCUGAUUAGCUAGUUGGAGGGGUAACGGCCCACCAAGGCGAUGAUCAGUAGCCGGUCUGAGAGGAUGAACGGCCACAUUGGGACUGAGACACGGCCCAGACUCCUACGGGAGGCAGCAGUGGGGAAUCUUCCGCAAUGGACGAAAGUCUGACGGAGCAACGCCGCGUGAGUGAUGACGGCCUUCGGGUUGUAAAGCUCUGUUAAUCGGGACGAAUGGUUCUUGUGCAAAUA
rnacentral:rRNA from 1 species